rnacentral:rRNA from 1 species
AGACCCGAAACCCGGUGAUCUAGCCAUGGGCAGGUUGAAGGUUGGGUAACACUAACUGGAGGACCGAACCGACUAAUGUUGAAAAAUUAGCGGAUGACCUGUGGCUGGGGGUGAAAGGCCAAUCAAACCGGGAGAUAGCUGGUUCUCCCCGAAAGCUAUUUAGGUAGCGCCUCGUGAAUUCAUCUCCGGGGGUAGAGCACUGUUUCGGCUAGGGGGCCAUCCCGGCUUACCAACCCGAUGCAAACUGCGAAUACCGGAGAAUGUUAUCACGGGAGACACACGGCGGGUGCUAACGUCCGUCGUGAAGAGGGAAACAACCCAGACCGCCAGCUAAGGUCCCAAAGUCAUGGUUAAGUGGGAAACGAUGUGGGAAGGCCCAGACAGCCAGGAUGUUGGCUUAGAAGCAGCCAUCAUUUAAAGAAAGCGUAAUAGCUCACUGGUCGAGUCGGCCUGCGCGGAAGAUGUAACGGGGCUAAACCAUGCACCGAAGCUGCGGCAGCGACGCUGAUGCGUUGUUGGGUAGGGGAGCGUUCUGUAAGCCUGCGAAGGUGACCUGUGAGGGUUGCUGGAGGUAUCAGAAGUGCGAAUGCUGACAUAAGUAACGAUAAAGCGGGUGAAAAGCCCGCUCGCCGGAAGACCAAGGGUUCCUGUCCAACGUUAAUCGGGGCAGGGUGAGUCGACCCCUAAGGCGAGGCCGAAAGGCGUAGUCGAUGGGAAACGGGUUAAUAUUCCCGUACUUGGUGUUACUGCGAAGGGGGGACGGAGAAGGCUAUGUUGGCCGGGCGACGGUUGUCCCGGUUUAAGCGUGUAGGUGUGUGUUCCAGGUAAAUCCGGUUCACUUUAACA